rnacentral:piRNA from 1 species
GCUAGAGUCUCUUUGAUUGUAACCUGAAU